GACGAACGCUGGCGGCGUGCCUAAUACAUGCAAGUCGAACGAACUCUGGUAUUGAUUGGUGCUUGCAUCAUGAUUUACAUUUGAGUGAGUGGCGAACUGGUGAGUAACACGUGGGAAACCUGCCCAGAAGCGGGGGAUAACACCUGGAAACAGAUGCUAAUACCGCAUAACAACUUGGACCGCAUGGUCCGAGUUUGAAAGAUGGCUUCGGCUAUCACUUUUGGAUGGUCCCGCGGCGUAUUAGCUAGAUGGUGGGGUAACGGCUCACCAUGGCAAUGAUACGUAGCCGACCUGAGAGGGUAAUCGGCCACAUUGGGACUGAGACACGGCCCAAACUCCUACGGGAGGCAGCAGUAGGGAAUCUUCCACAAUGGACGAAAGUCUGAUGGAGCAACGCCGCGUGAGUGAAGAAGGGUUUCGGCUCGUAAAACUCUGUUGUUAAAGAAGAACAUAUCUGAGAGUAACUGUUCAGGUAUUGACGGUAUUUAACCAGAAAGCCACGGCUAACUACGUGCCAGCAGCCGCGGUAAUACGUAGGUGGCAAGCGUUGUCCGGAUUUAUUGGGCGUAAAGCGAGCGCAGGCGGUUUUUUAAGUCUGAUGUGAAAGCCUUCGGCUCAACCGAAGAAGUGCAUCGGAAACUGGGAAACUUGAGUGCAGAAGAGGACAGUGGAACUCCAUGUGUAGCGGUGAAAUGCGUAGAUAUAUGGAAGAACACCAGUGGCGAAGGCGGCUGUCUGGUCUGUAACUGACGCUGAGGCUCGAAAGUAUGGGUAGCAAACAGGAUUAGAUACCCUGGUAGUCCAUACCGUAAACGAUGAAUGCUAAGUGUUGGAGGGUUUCCGCCCUUCAGUGCUGCAGCUAACGCAUUAAGCAUUCCGCCUGGGGAGUACGGCCGCAAGGCUGAAACUCAAAGGAAUUGACGGGGGCCCGCACAAGCGGUGGAGCAUGUGGUUUAAUUCGAAGCUACGCGAAGAACCUUACCAGGUCUUGACAUACUAUGCAAAUCUAAGAGAUUAGACGUUCCCUUCGGGGACAUGGAUACAGGUGGUGCAUGGUUGUCGUCAGCUCGUGUCGUGAGAUGUUGGGUUAAGUCCCGCAACGAGCGCAACCCUUAUUAUCAGUUGCCAGCAUUAAGUUGGGCACUCUGGUGAGACUGCCGGUGACAAACCGGAGGAAGGUGGGGAUGACGUCAAAUCAUCAUGCCCCUUAUGACCUGGGCUACACACGUGCUACAAUGGAUGGUACAACGAGUUGCGAACUCGCGAGAGUAAGCUAAUCUCUUAAAGCCAUUCUCAGUUCGGAUUGUAGGCUGCAACUCGCCUACAUGAAGUCGGAAUCGCUAGUAAUCGCGGAUCAGCACGCCGCGGUGAAUACGUUCCCGGGCCUUGUACACACCGCCCGUCACACCAUGAGAGUUUGUAACACCCAAAGUCGGUGGGGUAACCUUUUAGGAACCAGCCGCCUAAGGUGGGACAGAUGAUUAGGGUGAAG
rnacentral:rRNA from 1 species